rnacentral:rRNA from 1 species
UACGUAGGGGGCGAGCGUUGUCCGGAUUCAUUGGGCGUAAAGAGCUCGUAGGCGGCUUGGCAAGCCGGGUGUGAAACCUCCAGGCUCAACCUGGAGACGCCACCCGGGACUGCUAUGGCUAGAGUCCGGUAGGGGAUCACGGAAUUCCUGGUGUAGCGGUGAAAUGCGCAGAUAUCAGGAGGAACACCGGUGGCGAAGGCGGUUCUCUGGGCCUUACCUGACGCUGAGGAGCGAAAGCGUGGGGAGCGAACAGG